CCUACGGGAGGCUGCAGUAGGGAAUAUUGCUCAAUGGGGGCAACCCUGAAGCAGCAACGCCGCGUGGAGGAUGAAGGUUUUCGGAUUGUAAACUCCUUUUGUUAGAGAAGAUAAUGACGGUAUCUAACGAAUUAGCACCGGCUAACUCCGUGCCAGCAGCCGCGGUAAUACGGCGGGUGCAAGCGUUACUCGGAAUCACUGGGCGUAAAGGGCGCGUAGGCGGGAUAGCAAGUCAGAUGUGAAAUCCUAUGGCUUAACCAUAGAACUGCAUUUGAAACUGUUAUUCUAGAGUAUGGGAGAGGUAGGUGGAAUUCGUGGUGUAGGGGUAAAAUCCGUAGAGAUCAAGAGGAAUACUCAUUGCGAAGGCGACCUGCUAGAACAUAACUGACGCUGAUGCGCGAAAGCGUGGGGAGCAAACAGGAUUAGAUACCCCUGUAGUC
rnacentral:rRNA from 1 species